CCUACGGGAGGCAGCAGUGGGGAAUAUUGGGCAAUGGGCGCAAGCCUGACCCAGCGACGCCGCGUGAAGGAAGAAGGCUUUCGGGUUGUAAACUUCUUUUAAGGGGGAAGAGCAGAAGACGGUACCCCUUGAAUAAGCCACGGCUAACUACGUGCCAGCAGCCGCGGUAAUACGUAGGUGGCAAGCGUUGUCCGGAUUUACUGGGUGUAAAGGGCGUGCAGCCGGAGAGACAAGUCAGAUGUGAAAUCCACGGGCUCAACCCGUGAACUGCAUUUGAAACUGUUUCCCUUGAGUGUCGGAGAGGUAAUCGGAAUUCCUUGUGUAGCGGUGAAAUGCGUAGAUAUAAGGAAGAACACCAGUGGCGAAGGCGGAUUACUGGACGAUAACUGACGGUGAGGCGCGAAAGCGUGGGGAGCAAACAGGAUUAGAUACCCCUGUAGUC
rnacentral:rRNA from 1 species